CCUAGCCAACUAUUCACGCCCGGUGAGAUCAUGAAUCAUAAGAGGAAGAACCUUCUACCGUCAUUUCCCUAAGCCAGCGUCAAUCCUAACUGCAUUCUAAGUUCUCAUCCUUAGGUCUCCAGGGAAGUGUGAUCCCCAUCUCUCAUCCACAAACGCUUCUGUUUGCCUUAGCAGGAGAGCACUAACGAGAGUCACAGCCAGUUAAAAGGCGGAGAACAGUGCCUUUGGGCUGCCCAGAUUCAAGUGACAUAUCUACAAUACAACUCUUGUACCUAAGGUUCGGGAAACAUCCCGGAAAGGGGGAAAGAUCGGAAGAGCCAGAGGACCAGGAAGGCUGCUGUGAGACUGUGCUCUUGAACUACAACAGCGAAGCUACACUCACGAAAUCUCAACAGCAGGACUCAAAUAAGACCGGAACAAUCCCAAUGUUAGUUGACAUCCCAGCACAGAUAGGGAAGCCUUGAAGGGCCCCCUCCUAGAUGAAGAGCUACAGAAAAUUAAGGACCGAUGAGAGAUGGAAAAUGAGUCUCUGCCAGGAACGCCCCCUCCCCACAUUGGUUGGUGAUCCAGCAUCUAACAGGGUCCCCGAUUGGUUGGUUAUCUAGCAUCUAACGGGGCCUCCUAUUGGUUGGUUAUCCAGCAUCUUCAGGCAAGCCCUAAAAAGACAGAGGACAUGAAGUCUGAACUUCCUCAGCUUAGGAUUGAAUUAUCUGGCAAUCACUUCCCAGUUUCCAACCUAUCUGGACCACUAACUGAAGGGGCACAGAGCAGAAGCUCGAGAAGACGGUUUGAGCAGGCAUCUUACAUCCUCUCGUCUCCAUUCCUGAUCUUGGCAGGCCGGUCAAUGUCACGUUUUUCUUCCAAGGACAUGAAACACAAGGCUUUCAUAGUCAAGAGAAAGCUCAUAUCAACACGGGUUUGGAAAGCACUUCAGUCUAAACUGUUCUCUCUUUUGUUCGAUAUAAAUGUUAAGAAACAACAACAACAAUAAGAUAGCCCAAUUGCAAAACUCAGUACACAGCACAAGCUAUCUUGAAACACUCAAAGCAUACAGGAAAACAAAACAAAACAAAACAAAACAAAACAAAACAGAACCAAACCUUCAAACACGAGCCUUUUCUCUAAGACUGAGAGAGCACCCUCUCAUAAUGAAAGCUCUGGUUACCUCUCUAUGGAGGUAUGUGCUUGGCCACCCCCAAAACAAUAAACUAAAUUGUUGUUCAUGACCUCA